rnacentral:rRNA from 1 species
GUGGGUAACCUACCCUGGGGACCGGGAUAGCCUUCCUAACGGAUGGGUAAUACCGGGCGAUCUGCCGAGGGGGCAUCUCCUUGUCAGGAAAUGAGUUUCGCCUCGGGAGGGGCUCACGUGAUAUUAGCUAGUUGGUGAGGUAACGGCUCACCAAGGCAAAGAUGCCUAGCAGGUGUGAGAGCACGACCUGCGCCACUGGCACUGAGACACUGGCCAGACACCUACGGGUGGCUGCAGUCGAGGAUCUUCGGCAAUGGGCGCAAGCCUGACCGAGCGACGCCGCGUGUGCGAUGAAGGCCUUCGGGUUGUAAAGCACUGUCGAGGGGGAGGAAGCCGCAAGGUUGACCUAUCCCUGGAGGAAGCACGGGCUAAGUUCGUGCCAGCAGCCGCGGUAAGACGAACCGUGCGAACGUUGUUCGGAAUCACGGGGCUUAAAGGGCGCGUAGGCGGGUCGGCAAGUCCGGGGUGAAAGCCCCCAGCUCAACUGGGGAAGGGCCUUGGAAACUGCCGGUCUC